GACGAACGCUGGCGGCGUGCCUAAUACAUGCAAGUAGAACGCUGAAGAGAGGAGCUUACUCUUCUUGGAUGAGUUGCGAACGGGUGAGUAACGCGUAGGUAACCUGCCUUGUAGCGGGGGAUAACUAUUGGAAACGAUAGCUAAUACCGCAUAACAAUGGAUGACACAUGUCAUUUAUUUGAAAGGGGCAAUUGCUCCACUACAAGAUGGACCUGCGUUGUAUUAGCUAGUAGGUGAGGUAAUGGCUCACCUAGGCGACGAUACAUAGCCGACCUGAGAGGGUGAUCGGCCACACUGGGACUGAGACACGGCCCAGACUCCUACGGGAGGCAGCAGUAGGGAAUCUUCGGCAAUGGGGGCAACCCUGACCGAGCAACGCCGCGGGAGUGAAGAAGGGUGUCGGAUCGUAAAGCUCGGUUGUAAGUCAAGAACGGGUGUGAGAGUGGAAAGUUCACACUGUGACGGUAGCUUACCAGAAAGGGACGGCUAACUACGUG
rnacentral:rRNA from 1 species